GACGAACGCUGGCGGCGUGCUUAACACAUGCAAGUCGAACGGAAAGGCCCUGCCUUUGUGGGGUGCUCGAGUGGCGAACGGGUGAGUAACACGUGAGUAACCUGCCCUUGACUUUGGGAUAACUUCAGGAAACUGGGGCUAAUACCGGAUAUGAGCUCCUGCUGCAUGGUGGGGGCUGGAAAGUUUCGGCGGUUGGGGAUGGACUCGCGGCUUAUCAGCUUGUUGGUGGGGUAGUGGCUUACCAAGGCUUUGACGGGUAGCCGGCCUGAGAGGGUGAACGGCCACAUUGGGACUGAGAUACGGCGCAGACUGCUACGGGAGGCAGCAGUGGGGAAUAUUGCACAAUGGGCGGAAGCCUGAUGCAGCAACGCCGCGUGCGGGAUGACGGCCUUCGAGUUGUGAACCGCUUUCGCCUGUGACGAAGCGUGAGUGACGGUAAUGGGUAAAGAAGCACCGGCUAACUACGUG
rnacentral:rRNA from 1 species